GGGGCUAUAGCUCAGUUGGGAGAGCGCCUGCCCCGCAAGCAGGAGGUCGGCGGUUCGAAUCCGCUUAGCUCCA
rnacentral:tRNA from 1 species